CCACUGUCAGCUGGUUCAGUCACCUUCCUCUGCUAGCCUACAAUACAACUACCAGUCUACAGCAAAGGGAGAUACAUUUUGUUUAGAAUAGACUAUGAUUAUUGUACUUGGUAAAGUGCAGAGAUAAUGCAGUAGCUCAAACUAUUCUCAAAUGACUAAAACCAGAGUUAAAAUACAAUCUUUCUUUGGAAGGACAGCUGUCUGCCAUGCUCCUGCUGUAAGACAGUGGGAUUUGUAUGGACUCAAAAGGACAGAUAUCACUUACUGACAGGUAAUUGCUUUCUGCAGAUAGCUGACUCUUUUCCUUGGAGGUCUCCUUUUUCUACAUAAUGUCCAUUCAUGGUCUAAAGCAGCAGGGUUGCAGACAGUAAUUGGUUGAUUAUGCAUUAAUGUUUAAUUUAUGGAACAGUACCUAUAUAUUUGUAAAGAACAACUUUUACGUCUGUUGAAUGUUGUCAGAGUUCAAAUAUUAGUAUGUAGCAUUUCAGAAACACAUUCACUGAACUGAAAUGGCUUUUCGCAAAAACACAGAAAGAUGAGAAUGUCUAUUAAAAGAGAACAGCUUAGCAAAACCUUUUUCACUGAACCCUUCUAUCGAGCUUUUGUUCAGCCAUAGGCUGUGCGAUGCAGUUCGAGUCAUUCUGUAACGCUGACCUGUGUCUUUUGCAAUGGCUUAGGUCAUCCUGUUCAUCAUCUGAGCACCUUUCUUUGGUGGUCCUGCCAGCAGCAGUGGGGAAAUGAAAGAGAAGAUUGAACUCUCCAAACUAUUCUGAACAUGGCUUGGCCCAGGGCAAAGUUCCUCAAUAGUAACUUUCCUAUCACAGAGUCAUCUGAGAACCUACUUGCUACUGUCUUGCUCUUAUUAGGCCUCCUUAUCUUUAUGGACAGUGCUGUCAAAGCUGCCCUUCUGGUUUGGGGAUACCUGAGCCUGUUCCUGAAGAGACUCUUCCUCCAUGGUAUCACCAAAGGUUACUUGCAUCAUUGAAACGGAUCAUUCUGUGACCACUAGAGCUGAUGGUCUGCUUCUAUGUAACUAGUGUAGCCAGCAAAGGAAGUAGAGCUUACUCAGCAUCCCCAGUUCCAAAAUAUUUCAGAAGAGGAAAAAGUCCUAUGGAAAGAUUCCUACUGAAGCAAAAGCCUAUUCAAAAAGCAGUCCCAAUUAGGACAUCCUCUACUCAAAUAUUUUGUUACAAGUGGCCCAAAGAGUAAGAAUUUUUAUUUUUUAAUUCUUGUUGCAGCAGCAGCUCUGAGUUAAGCAAUGGUCAUGGUGUGUUCAGGGCAUCAAAGCAGAAAAUCUGAGACAAAGGGCCCAGAUGCAGAAUUUCCUGCUAUAACCUAAACCAAAUGCCACUGAAUGCAGCUUCCCUCAAGAUCUCCCAGCUACGCUACUGUUCACAGCCUUGCUGGUGGCCAGCAUCCAGACUGAGCAUUAGUAAAACUAACAAACCAAACAGUUCCCACAGUAAGUCCCUUGCUUUCCAGCUAACUUAUUUAACUGCGGAGCUUCUAAGAGGGAUGUUUCAUCUACUGUUGUUGCAAUAACCAGUAAGCGGGUAUCCAUGACAAAACCAAAGGGCACUGCCCUACAGCAAUGAAGUCUUGGCUAAGCAGCAGCAGAAACCGAAAAAGGUCAGAGCUCCACAGUAGCCCUGCUCCAUUUUAAAAAUAAAGCCCAUCAGUUUCCUGAGAAAUGAUGAAGGAGGUUCUUCAAUGGCUUUCAGAUCAGACCUGGGAUGUCUCAACACAAUUCUCCCAAAGACACCAGGGGAAGAAAGGGAAAUGCUCAGACAAGUAUACAAGGAGAGCACCGCAGAGCUUCACUGACAUUCAUUCCACCGCUCCCUGCCAAGGGAGGGACAAGAACAGAAAAGACUUUGCGGCUUUGCAGAGAGCAAGGAACCGGGCUAGCUUUUCCCUGCAACGAAUUUGCUAUUCUUUCCCCAUCUCUCUGUCCUGUCCUUGUGCUCCCAGAGGUACAACUCCCUUUGCCAUAAUUUGUUUUUCUUCCUUUACACGGGGACCAUUUCUACACAGUUCUGUACCUGGAUGGUCUUGCAGUGCCACCUUCUCUAAGAUUUUCAGUGGAAUCCAGGACACUUGGUUUGGUGAUCUGCAGCUGCUCCAUUUCAUGUCUUGGAUAAUGCUGCUGAAGUCCACCAGAAGGAGCCUUUGUGUAUCAGUUUUGCAUAAGCCUCGAUGAAUAUAUUAACAUGUAAGUAAAAAGCCAGUGAGUUCUCUUAACUAUGUUGAGUUACCAUAAAAUUAAUCUUCCCAGUCUGUAUGAGAACAGGAUGCUCUGGCUUGCAAUACAAAUCCUAUACAUUAAGAAUAUGGAUGGUUGUACACAGCUCCUAAAGAUGACUUUUCUCCCAGCCUCCUCAUUGAUCGACCAGUGUAGUUUUAUUUCUUAAUAACUACAAAGAACUAAAUACAGCCCUACAAUAGCACGUAUCGGAUACGCGUUCCCCUUUUUGUUUGCAGUCUGCUCUCAGAUUGGUGCUAAGCAUUGUCCAGCAUUCCCCAAGGCAGCUUCGUACUUUGAGAUACGCCUAUCUCUGCGGGAGCUCUCUUUGACCACAGAAACUUGAAAUGUACUCUUCUCAGGUACUCUUAUCAUGGUAGUAAAAGCACAGGAAGGUGUCGGCAAACUAGUUCUGCCAAACUCCUGUAGUUUUGAUCCGAUGGCUGGAUUUAAUCUGUUGGUGUUUUGGGGAAGAUGACUGCUUAUCACGAGAGCGAGGG